CAGACAGCCUUAUUUGAGUCGCCGCGUUCCCCCUUCGAUCUUACCAUCGGCCUCUACCGCCGCAGUGCCAGCCCAACCCUUAGGCGACAUAGGCGGUCGCCUAAGGUCCUAGCCCCAAAGAAGGCUCCGGUUGGCCGGUUCUCUUUCCAUGCCCCUCCUACCCGCCUCGGUAGUAUCAGUGCUGUGCUCCACUAGAUCGCACCGUCUUCAUCUCCUCUUCCCUCCGGAGCUCCAGCACCAUCACCUCACCACUGGCGGCGAGGCCUUGAGAAAACCAGGAUCUACACAGCUUCUUCACCGGUGGGGACGAGGAGGCAAGGUCGUCAUUUGUCCCAGCAUCUCAAGCUCCGUCAUCUGCUGGCCUUGCAUGCCCAACUCGUGAGGAGAACAAUGGAGGCCCUAUUGCUAUGCUUCCUUUGUGCAUGGGCCAUAAUGGCAGAGAUCUCGGCCCAAGAAGGUUUUAGGCCAAAGCACGAAACCAAUCAGUUUUAGCUUCACAAACCUCUAUGACAAAAGGACAUAGGUUGUAUCUUCCGCACAAAAGAAAGAAUCCCCUUCCUUCACAUGAGUCCACCAUUGGAUCGCAUAAUGGUCACUUUGAGAUCUGUGCAGUGAUGAAUGAAGGAGUUAGAAAUGUUUUGAGAUUUGUGCUGGGUACGAUCCAACGGUCGACGCCAUGAAAAAAGACCGAUCAUUCUUUCACAUGAAAGAGCGGCCUCUAUACUAUUUUAAUCCAGCUCAUUGCAACGGCCUCCUCCAACUUUUGUAUUAACAGAAAUGAGUCUCCUCCAAAUUUUGCAUUAGUAUCAUUUGCCUUCGCAUUCAAAAAUAGUCUAUAUUGAACCUUUCCCAUUAUAUAUUAGUCGAUGUUAAUAUUUCAUCGAGAACUAAUUUACUACACAAUUUGAUGCCAUCUUAUUUUUGGUA